GUGGGCAUAGCUCAGUGGUAAAGCGCGUGCUAAGCAUGCAUGAGGUCCUGGGUUCAAUCCCCAGUACCUCUA
rnacentral:tRNA from 1 species